rnacentral:rRNA from 1 species
GACAGAGGGUGCAAACGUUGUUCGGAAUUACUGGGCGUAAAGCGCGUGUAGGCGGCUAUGUAAGUCGGGUGUGAAAGCCCUUGGCUCAACCGAGGAAGAGCAUUCGAAACUGCGUAGCUUGAGUUCUGGAGAGGAUGGUGGAAUUCUCGGUGUAGAGGUGAAAUUCGUAGAUAUCGAGAGGAACACCGGUGGCGAAGGCGGCCAUCUGGACAGAAACUGACGCUGAGACGCGAAAGCGUGGGUAGCAAACAGG